rnacentral:rRNA from 1 species
CCUGGCGGCCUUAGCGCGGUGGUCCCACCUGACCCCAUGCCGAACUCAGAAGUGAAACGCCGUAGCGCCGAUGGUAGUGUGGGGUCUCUCCAU